UGAACGCUGGCGGCGUGCCUAAUACAUGCAAAUCGAGCGAACGGACGAGAAGCUUGCUUCUCUGAUGUUAGCGGCGGACGGGUGAGUAACACGUGGAUAACCUACCUAUAAGACUGGGAUAACUUCGGGAAACCGGAGCUAAUACCGGAUAAUAUUUUGAACCGCAUGGUUCAAAAGUGAAAGACGGUCUUGCUGUCACUUAUAGAUGGAUCCGCGCUGCAUUAGCUAGUUGGUAAGGUAACGGCUUACCAAGGCAACGAUGCAUAGCCGACCUGAGAGGGUGAUCGGCCACACUGGAACUGAGACACGGUCCAGACUCCUACGGGAGGCAGCAGUAGGGAAUCUUCCGCAAUGGGCGAAAGCCUGACGGAGCAACGCCGCGUGAGUGAUGAAGGUCUUCGGAUCGUAAAACUCUGUUAUUAGGGAAGAACAUAUGUGUAAGUAACUGUGCACAUCUUGACGGUACCUAAUCAGAAAGCCACGGCUAACUACGUG
rnacentral:rRNA from 1 species